CUGUGAGCUCGAUGAGUAGGGCGGGACACGUGGUAUCCUGUCUGAAUAUGGGGGGACCAUCCUCCAAGGCUAAAUACUCCUGACUGACCGAUAGUGAACCAGUACCGUGAGGGAAAGGCGAAAAGAACCCCGGCGAGGGGAGUGAAAAAGAACCUGAAACCGUGUACGUACAAGCAGUGGGAGCACGCUUCGGCGUGUGACUGCGUACCUUUUGUAUAAUGGGUCAGCGACUUAUAUUCUGUAGCAAGGUUAACCGAAUAGGGGAGCCGAAGGGAAACCGAGUCUUAACUGGGCGUUAAGUUGCAGGGUAUAGACCCGAAACCCGGUGAUCUAGCCAUGGGCAGGUUGAAGGUUGGGUAACACUAACUGGAGGACCGAACCGACUAAUGUUGAAAAAUUAGCGGAUGACUUGUGGCUGGGGGUGAAAGGCCAAUCAAACCGGGAGAUAGCUGGUUCUCCCCGAAAGCUAUUUAGGUAGCGCCUCGUGAAUUCAUCUCCGGGGGUAGAGCACUGUUUCGGCAAGGGGGUCAUCCCGACUUACCAACCCGAUGCAAACUGCGAAUACCGGAGAAUGUUAUCACGGGAGACACACGGCGGGUGCUAACGUCCGUCGUGAAGAGGGAAACAACCCAGACCGCCAGCUAAGGUCCCAAAGUCAUGGUUAAGUGGGAAACGAUGUGGGAAGGCCCAGACAGCCAGGAUGUUGGCUUAGAAGCAGCCAUCAUUUAAAGAAAGCGUAAUAGCUCACUGGUCGAGUCGGCCUGCGCGGAAGAUGUAACGGGGCUAAACCAUGCACCGAAGCUGCGGCAGCGACACUAUGUGUUGUUGGGUAGGGGAGCGUUCUGUAAGCCUGUGAAGGUGUGCUGUGAGGCAUGCUGGAGGUAUCAGAAGUGCGAAUGCUGACAUAAGUAACGAUAAAGCGGGUGAA
rnacentral:rRNA from 1 species